rnacentral:lncRNA from 1 species
AGAAAAGGUGUAGGGAAUAGUGUUGGAUAGAGCACAAUUUUAGAAACCACUAGGAAUUUCAAUCAUCGAAUUUGGAGUUAUAAUGAGUUUUCUAGAAUUAAUUUUGUGUAACAGGAAAAAGAAAAAGGAAAAAAAGAUUUACCUAAGUGGGCCUAAGUUAUGCACUAGGCGCAACUUAGCACCGUGCACUGGCCUAGCCCAGCUCCUCGCGCACGCCCGCACAGAAACCACGCCGAAGACGUACUCAAGGGAGUAUAUUUUCUGCGGGAAAAA